AUACGGAGGAUCCGAGCGUUAUCCGGAUUUAUUGGGUUUAAAGGGUGCGUAGGCGGCCUUUUAAGUCAGCGGUGAAAGUCUGUGGCUCAACCAUAGAAUUGCCGUUGAAACUGGGAGGCUUGAGUAUGUUUGAGGCAGGCGGCAUGCGUUGUGUAGCGGUGAAAUGCUUAGAUAUUACGAAGAACCCCGGUUGCGAAGGCUGCCUGCCAAGCCAUGACUGACGCUGAUGCACGAAAGCGUGGGGAUCAAACAGGAUUAGAUACCCUGGUAGUCCACGCAGUAAACGAUGAUCACUAGCUGUUUGCGAUACACUGUAAGCGGCACAGCGAAAGCGUUAAGUGAUCCACCUGGGGAGUACGCCGGCAACGGUGAAACUCAAAGGAAUUGACGGGG
rnacentral:rRNA from 1 species